GGAUGGAUGGCCGAGCGGUUUAAGGCACCAGUCUUGAAAACUGACGUACGUUAAUAGCGUACCGUGGGUUCGAAUCCCACUCCAUCCGCAC
rnacentral:tRNA from 2 species